GGCGGUUCUUGGAUGACGCAGCAUGGAAUUGGGCUUCCCCCACUCUGGUUCUGGUGCGUCAUCCAAGAACCACA
rfam:Myotis davidii contig22064, whole genome shotgun sequence.